GGAGGCACGGGGUUCGAUCCCCCGCAUCUCCACUGCAAUAAACAUUUUAUUUUCCUUUUCCUAGUGUCAAAGUUCCUUGAAACGGCGUCGUUCACUCUCUCUUCUUCUCCCCUUUAGUCUCUACGGCGCAUAUUAUUCUAAAGAAACUUGUUCAUCUAACCUCAGCCAACUGCCCUCGCCGGCGGGCCACCAUUUGCCUUCAAAACUAGUCAGAGUUUUCGUCUUAAAGCGCAUUAGAGAUCACUGUCCCAGGCCUCCCUCUUAUCUCGUUACAAAAGAGUUGGAUUUCAGGUUGCCAAGGAGCUAUCAAGAGGUGGAUAUGCAUAUAUGUCUAGAUCAAGAUAUACACAAAGGCAUUGCUGUCAAUACCAGUGGUCUACGCUUGAAUUACUGCCAGAAACUAGAGCCUUUCAAGGUUCCAUAUUUCAAAAGCAUCAUGGUUUUUCUACCUCAGCUUCCGAUGGUGCUUCUGCAGGAGCGGAUGAAGAGAAAGGAACGAUACCUGUCACAUUUGUUUCAAAGGAUGGAGAAGAAAUUCCCAUUCAAGUGCCUAUUGGAAUGUCUAUGCUGGAAGCAGCUCAUGAAAAUGAUAUAGAACUUGAAGGCAAGGAUCAUGAUCCAUAAUUGAACCCAUAAUUUUCCAGCUUUCCUUGGAGCUAACUCAUCUUGGAGUAAUUCGUUUACCGAAACCUUUCAUUGCUAAUAAUUAAUGUCUGUUUGUACUGACGUUUCAGGAGCAUGUGAGGGUUCACUUGCUUGUUCAACAUGCCAUGUCAUAGUGAUGGACAUGGAGUACUAUAAUAAAUUGGAAGAUCCAGCUGAUGAAGAGAAUGACAUGUUGGACCUGGCCUUUGGGCUUACCGAAACGUCUCGUCUGGGAUGUCAAAUAGUUGCAAGUCCUGAACUUGAUGGAAUUCGUUUAGCAAUCCCUGCUGCCACUCGAAACUUUGCUGUUGACGGGUAUGUUCCAAAACCACAUUAGACAUGAUCAAUAUCAAUACAACACCUCACUCAAUUUAAAUGAGCACAGAGGAUCCAGUUAUCCAGUUUUGUAGCUUCAGUAAUCCUAUUUGAAUCGGGGAGCAUAUAUUAUUCUCAAAUGAUUGCUUUUUGUAUUGAUUAUUGCUUAUUGAAUUCCCAAUAAUCCUUGUGUGACAUUGAUUCUAUAUAUCAAAUGAUGUCAAAGCUCCCAUGACCA